GAGUAGGUUAGGCACUGGCUAUUGGUUUAGAAAAUUGGGCUUAGAAAUUUAAACUAGUUUUAAUUAAUGGAGGUUUUAUAUUUUGCCAUAAAUAAAAUAUGUUAUGGAGGUUUUUCAAAACUUCCACAAAAAAAUCUCCAUAAACAAGCAGAAAUCUUGUAGUGUGCUAGGAUCUGUUCUUCAGUUUCCCUUCCUCUUUGCAGUCUUGUGUGUUUUAGUUUUUACUCAAUGCAACCUUGGUUGCAUAUUAAUAGGUAAGGAAUGAGAAAGCUCGGAGAUACUUGAGCAGCAUACCCAAGAAGAAGCCAGUUCCUUUCUCCCAGAAGUUUCCUAAUGCAAACCCCCUUGCUCUUCGUUUGUUAGAUAGAAUGUUGGCCCUUGAGCCUAAAGAUUGGCCUUCUGCUGAAGAGGCGUUAGCGGCUCCAUAUUUUAAAGGCUUGGCCAAGGUUGAGAGAAAACCUUCUGCCAGCCAGUUACAAAGAUGGAAUUUGAGUUUGAGAGACGCAGGAUAACAAAGGAAGAUGUAGAAGAACUUAUAUAUUGUGAGAUUCUAGAGUACCAUCCAAAGAUGUUAAAAAAAUUUCUAGAGGAAGCAGAGCCAACAGGUUUCAUGUAUCCUAGAUAUUGUUGUCUAUGGCUGUAGCCAAACUCUUGUUUCAUCCUUAUUCGUUGCAUUUCUUUAACCACUCAAUACAAUUUUUUAUAAUUGGCUAUUCCCUAAAUAUCUCUAUGUAACAGUUUGAAUUAUUAACCAUAAGCCAUGCCAUAUUUGCUGGCUUUUUCUUAGUAUUUAAUUCCCCAUGCAAGUGGACUUUGAAAGUAGAAGUUCUUUUGUAAAUAAUUAAGGCUGAAUGAGUAUUUACGGUUGAUAAAUCUUUUUUUCUGUUACUUUACUCGAUUGUAUGUUUAUUCAAACGUAAUAACCAAAGUUACUUUACUCCAUAGUUUGAUUAUACAGUCUCUUCUAGUUUAGGUGUCAUUGAUGAUAUAUUAAUGAAGCCUUUUUGGCUGAGUGUUUUGGUUUGCUCCUAUAGAGAAUCCCUUGGAAUUGAAAAAAGGCAAACAACUAGAAAGAAAGUAUCCAAACUUGGGAAUCUAUCAUUACAAAAAAGAAUUUUGGUGGUUGAUGCUAAUGCAGUGAACAGAAAAGUUGCAGAAGGUGUUUUACAGAAAUAUAGGGCAACAGUUACUUGUGUCGAGGGUGGUAGGGCUGCUCUACAGAUGCUGAAGAAGGUUGAUAGCUUCUCAAGAUGAAUUACUAAAGAACUUGCAGAGAUGGAUGAUCUGCAUCUGCAGUCUUCUCUUGGUAUUUCAUGAAGCAUAGGUCAGUGUGGGCAUGUAAUAGAUGAUACAUCAUUGAACCUGUCCUUAUUCCAAGACGCAGCCCUUUAAAAGAUUGAAGUAAAACAUACUCUAUAGAAUGAGCAAAGAAGAUAAAUUCAUUUUUGUUUAUAGAACCAAGGGAAAUGUCAUCCUGUAAAUUUUCUCGUUUAGACCUUUUUAGUACUUGGCUACAUUCUUUCAUGCAAUUUUUCCCAAUAACAAGAUGGGAGGGAGGCAUCGUUUUAUUCUCCAAUUGACAGCUUUUUUGCCAUUAUAAUUGAAGAUCAAGUUUUGUAAGAUAUAACCGUGGAUCUUGUAGUAUAAUUCACCCAUGGAAGUAACAUGCUCCUUUUUAAAUAUUAUAUUUUAUCCAAAAUUAUUUAAAAAAUUAAAUGGAUUGCUUACAUAAAUGUCAACAGAAAUUAAAUACUCAGGUAGUUAUUAGCUAUCAAAUAAGUAUCGAUCGUUCUUCAUUGCCAUUAUCGCUGAAACUGGCGACAUCUCACCCCAAAAAGAUAAAUCUACAUCUCAUAAUUUUUUGUUGAUAAAUAAUUCACAAAUGAAUCCUCUAAAGUGACAUGAUAUAUGUAUAAUAAUUAAUAAGAGAAUUUAUAUUUCCUAAAUACAUCCGUAUUUUUGCUUGUUGCCCUCAGAUGUUGAGAUCAAGAGUGAGUAAAGAUUUUCCAAAACCUUUACACUUCAAAAUUACAAACCACCACUUUAUUAUACAACCAAUUCCUCUCUAUUACACUAUUAAUAAAAUGUCGAGCUAACAAAAGUUAAACUGAACAGGUGCAAAUGCCUCUUUAAUAAUGUAAAUCUAGGGCAAUGAAAUAGCACAAUGUCCUAAAUUGACAUUUAUUCACAUUAUAACAGUAACAGUUAAGUUAUUAAGGUAUUAAAUUUUACAAUUCUGAUCUACAAUACAAGCAUCCUGAAAACAAGGAGGCUAGAUCAUCCAACAAGAACUUAAGAGGGGAAAAUAAUUCAGAAUAAGAAGGAAGAGCAGAUCAAAUCCACCUGACAAUAUCCAACAUUAGAAUCGCAUAAA